AAAGUCGUAACAAGGUUUCCGUAGGUGAACCUGCGGAAGGAUCAUCACCGAUUGUCCGUUCCUUCGCACACCCCUGUGGUUGAACACCGGCGGCGCUUCCCAGCGCCGCCAUCCUUAUCAUUCACGCCUGAGACGCAGCUCUGAAAAAAACAAAAACAAAAAAACAUACACAACUUUUAACAACGGAUCUCUUGGUUCUC
rnacentral:misc_RNA from 1 species